AUUGAACGCUGGCGGCACGCCUUACACAUGCAAGUCGAACGGCAGCACGGGGGCAACCCUGGUGGCGAGUGGCGAACGGGUGAGUAACACAUCGGAACGUACCCGGUGGUGGGGGAUAGCCCGGCGAAAGCCGGAUUAAUACCGCAUACGACCUACGGGUGAAAGCGGGGGAUCGUAAGACCUCGCGCUAUCGGAGCGGCCGAUGUCAGAUUAGGUUGUUGGUGGGGCAAAGGCCUACCAAGCCGANGAUCUGUAGCUGGUCUGAGAGGACGACCAGCCACACUGGGACUGAGACACGGCCCAGACUCCUACGGGAGGCAGCAGUGGGGAAUUUUGGACAAUGGGCGCAAGCCUGAUCCAGCCAUGCCGCGUGCGGGAAGAAGGCCCUCGGGUUGUAAACCGCUUUU
rnacentral:rRNA from 1 species